CAAAAGCGGAAAAGGCGGAUAUAAGUGAAAAAGGUUGAAUUAAUUGGGUAGCAAGAUCCGAGAUCCGAUGGCGAUGGUAUGGCAGAUUAAAUACCAGCACAGUUGCAGAUAAAAACUCUUUUUCACACACAAAUGUCUUUAUAGCUAUUAGAGAUAUCAAAAGGCGACGGCGCAAUACUCUGUUCUAAGUGAAUUAUCUGCUUACAUAUUUUUGCGCACAAGCUUAUAAGUAUACAAGAAUUUUAAGUAGAGACUAAGCUUUAAGAGAUCUGAGGGAAGGAUUUUUAUGCGAAUAAUCUUAAAGGGAGAUGAUAUAUAUGACAAACAAUUUGAGCUUUGCAUUACCAAUUUGCUGUUACCAUAAAUCGAGUUUGAUUGGAUAAAAAAGCAACGAAUUUCUCUAGUCUAAACAUAAGCUGUAACUAACUGAUGUAUGCAAGUUUAUAAUUAACACGAUCAUUGCCAACAUGUUCGUACUACUACACACUUUAAAAUGCUGAAACAUUUACUCAAAUAAUAUACAUACACAGGUGUGAGUGUGUGUACUAUGUAAAUAGAGGAAAGAGUUGAAGGUUGAAACAGCAGCUACAUUUGUGUCCAGUCAUUGUCCAUAUGCAGCGAAAAAAAUAAAAAAAUAUUUUUAAUUUGAAUAAGUAAUUCGAACAACAGCCAAAAUCAAAUAGGAAAAAAAAAAAUACACACACAAAACUGAAAAACAAGUCAAAACAAAUGUGAAACAAGGAAAAUUCAAUUUACUCGCAUGUCAAACCGAAUUGCCGGCUAGGUCAAACACGUUGAUGGAUGGAUGGAUGCAUGGCCGCCUGAAUGAAAGGGACGCACAACAACAACAGCUACAAGCUGAAAUGGCAAAACGUUGCAUGGUCCGCUAUUGGGCGGUCCGCUUGCCCCACCCAGCUAACCAGGCCAGGCACAGGCACAGGCACAGGCACAAGCAAACCCAAUCCAACCGACGGCAAACAAUGGUCAAACUCGCGCUUCAUUCCACGUGCAUGUUUCGAAUAUUCGUAUGAGUGCAAAUAUUUCGAUGGAAGGAGGUAUCAAACGUUUUGCAUGCCACAUGUGAAGAAUGAGUACUUGAAAAUGUGCAGCAUACUCGAUGCAAGGCCUAGACUGUAACUGAAUUCUAAUAUCCAUUGGAAACUAGUCUGAAUGCUUCUCGCGCCGCUGAUUGCGUAUGGCAGGCUAGAAAUUUAAUUAAACUUGGAAUGCAAACAACUUCUAACUGCGGGCAACAGACAAUUAAACAAACAUCUAACUGAAAUGCAUAUAUGUAUAUAUAUAUAU